rnacentral:lncRNA from 1 species
GUCUACGAUUCAACUUUGUAACGCUAGUUCUGUGCAUUACACACCCUGAAAUGCAGACUGAACAUACAAGUGUCCAGGGUACUUAAUCUUCUUUCUUCUUCUAAAUUACCCCAUAAGAUAUUCUGCACAGCCAACGUGGGCUUACAAUAAACUGAUUCCCCUUGACACACUGCAUACAUGUAACAUUUGCUUUAUUUUAUUAUCCUGAUCAGCUUUCAAGUCAUAGAAGGAAAAGGUGGAGAAAGACACACGCAGUCACUUCAUUGCAAGGACAGGUACAGAGACUUGCGGCCACCUGAAAAAGAAGCAUUUCUACUUCGUCUGUCACCGGUCUGGAAGUUAUGCUUCACAAGCUACAAGUAAACAAAAGCUGAAGCGGCCUUCAAGUGUCAAGUGUGGAAAAAGAUGUUUUGCGGCAAUGGCUGUGACUGAAGACAACACAGACAAGCUGCGAGAAGGCGUGUCCAUGGAUGCAGUACUGGAUAAUGUGCGGUCCAACGUGGAUGAGACAUUCCACCGCAUUAACCUGUUAAGCAAGUGGGAUCUUCGCAAAAUAAUGAGGGAUGCCAGAGUCUCGAAGACCGAGCGGCUGCACGAUAAUGACUAUGUGAGCGUGCAACUCUGGGUUGAGAGGAUGCAUAGUGAAAAGGAAAACCCAUUGCUCUUCUUUAAACACCAAGGACAACCUGACAAAAAGUGACAUUUUUUUAGAGAAAAAAAUGAGGACCUUUUGGAUGACAGAGAUUUUAUGCUAGUCAUCAUGACCACACCACAACAGGAGCUUUUCAAGAGGCUUGGAACUGAUCGUAUAUGUGUCGAUGGAACACAUGGAACAGCAGGUGAGCAGUACUAUAUAAAUGCAUUAAUAAUAAAAGCAAGAAAGAGGGAA